AGAAGCAGGGCAGAGACCCCAAACUGGUUGUAUAUUCUAUAAUUAGAUUUCACCAACACAGUAACAAAUGUGAACUCCUAAAGCACUAUAACAGUCUUACCAUUGAGUCACAGACAAUCUCCUUGGGUAUUCCAAUCUAUCUUACUACCCAUGCAAGCAUUCCUUUCUGA